AAACCUGGAUAGCUACUACCAAGUUUGCAAUCUCUCAUCAGAAGACCUAUGGUUACUUCUGAUACAACACUUAUUCUCUGAAAACAAAGUAGAGACAAUUUGGUAGCUUGCCCUCAUCAUUCAGGUUUCCAUGAAGACAAGGGAGGAGUUUCAGAUUCAUGGUACGUAGCGAUAGUUCCACCGUAUCUGUCUCCCUUCACAGCAUCCGCUGAAGCAAUAGAUUCUAGCUCAGUCAUCUCUUCAGGUGUUAAUUUUACGGACAAAGCUCCAAUGUUCUGGUUGAAGUUUUCAGUUUUGGUGGUUCCAGGAAUGGGACAGACAUCAUUCCCUUGGUGAUGAACCCAUGCCAAUGCAAGCUGUGAUGGGGUGCACCCCUUCUUUGCUGCUAUCUCAUUAACUCGCUCAUAAAGACGUCUGUUGUGCUCAAGAUUUUCAGGUUGGAACCUCGGUAGAUACUGUGACAAUUGAAAAUCCAUUCACAUGAUUGUUAUGAAAAAUAAAGAUGAUCUGCAGCAGACCAUUACUUUCUGCAAAUAAUACAGAUUUAGGAUUCAAGGCAUUUCAAAAAGUGUUUGACAAUUCAUGCCAUCAAUGGUUGUCAAAAUGGACCUCAUUUAAUUGCCCAAAUACAGAAAAGAUCUCAUAUCCUCAGAUUUGAUUUAAAUAGAAGGCUAAAUGCCUAUUUCAGAAAGAUUUAAAUGGGGUACUAAUUUUGUAACAAACAAUUAACCAUGCAGUUCCUUAAAAGUAUAUUCAUGUACUCCAGAGUUCAGUCAUUAACUUCAAUUGUUAAAAUUAAGACUAAUGUAACCUGGAGCUUAGUUAAGUUGGUUCAUGCAACUGCCCUUAAGAGUAACAUCCAGCAGGUUUAGGAUUCAAAUUUCAGUGUCUGCAACCUCUUUCCCUAUCCCCAGGCUGCGGCCUCCUUUAUACUAAAAAAAGAUAGGACUAAUGCUCGUUACCUAAUUUAUACAUCACUUGGUUCAUUUGAUACAGAAUUCUCAAAUACAAGUAACAGAUGUCUCAUCUGUGACUCUGAUCUCAACUGAAGCAAACAAAUCUCCACUACAAACUUCCCUGAAGUUUUUCAUUAAAAGAUGCAUUAGAUGAUUGUAAACCGCUGCUAAGUGAGAAGUAACGGAUAUUAAUCAAUGGCUCACAAGAGACACUUGCAGUCUGGCAAAACUCAAUGGGAAGGACAUAAAGGUAUAAGUCAGCCUCUGUUAUUAAAGGUGAUUUGAAGCUUAACAUGCCUGCAUACUAUUUCACUUGAAAGUUGCGUGAUGCAUAUGACUUCACUAUAUAAUGGUAGUGGAUAUGACACAAUAGGGAAAAAGAUUAUGAACAUUUUCAAACUUCAAUUCUUAACCAGUCCACCCUUACUGUACUGCACAGUUGGAUAAUAUACACUUAGACAGUAAACACUAACAUUUAACUAAAACCAAUUCACAUGAGACUCACACUAAAUUGGAAAGAACAAGAUUGCUAGCAUUGAGGCACUUAAGAGACUAAAAUUGGGUGGUUUUCAUUACAGAGUAAGCUAACAAAGAGGAAAAUGUUGCAGAACAACUUAAGCAUAAAAAUUAUUUGGCUCUCAUAUGUAAAUACUCUUGUCUUGUCAGCAACCUCCGAUGCUGACUUAGGCUAGAGUUGAAAAUCUAGAAUACCCUAAUUUUUUUUUAAUAUUUUAGACCAUCAGGCACACGGCUACUGGAACUAAGAGUAAGCACUCUACCAAUAGGCACCCAGCUGUUGGCUAAUACCAUUAAAUUUAAUAUGCCUAAAAUAACAGAUAAUCAUGGCUUAUGAACAAGUAUCCAAAUGUGAAAAGUAGCUACAAACCUUUCUGAAGUCAUCAUUGGAAAAAGUUUCCACUAUUUUAGGCCCUGAUGAAAAGAAUCCUCUCCCCAGAGGGCUGUAAGCGACAAUCCCAAUCCCAAGUUCCCUAAGAAAUUAAAAGGAAUCACAUCAAAUAAGAAUUCCAAAUCAGAAAUUUUCAAAAAAAAAAAGAAAUUUGUUGGUCUUAUGGAUAAAUAACCUGCAAGUCGGAAUGAUGUCUGCCUCAACAUCUCUAGACCACAAGGACCACUCCAAUUGUACAGCAGUAAUUGGAUGAACAGCAUGUGCCCUUCUAAUUGUCGAAGCAGAAGCCUCAGAUAAACCUAUAUACUUUACUUUACCUUCUUCAACUAGUUUCUUAAGUUCUCCCAUCUGGGUGAAAAGAAAAAAAAAAGCAACAAUCAAUAAAAGAAUAAGAAGAAAAAAGCAAGGGGACAAAAGUCAAAACAAAAAACAAACCGUGACUUCAAUGGGAACCCUGGUAUCAAUCCGAUGCUGGUAAUAAAGAUCGAUACAAUCAACACCAAGACGCUUCAAGCUACCUUCACAGGCCGCUCUGACAUAAGCAGGGUCACCACGGAUUUCCCUCUUGCCAUCAGUAUAGUCUAUACCAAACUUAGUAGCCAAUUCAACCCUGUCUCUUACACCAUCUUUCAAGGCCUUACCAAUAAGGAUUUCAUUGGUAUGGGGACCAUAAACAUCAGAAGUAUCAAGAAAGGUAACCCCGGAGUUGAUAGCAUGGUGGAUUAGAGCAAUCAUGUCAGCUUCGGGCUUUGGAGGACCAUAGAAAGCUGACAUCCCCAUGCAUCCAAGGCCUUGAGCUGACACUUCCAGGCCCUGAGAACCCAACUUGAUCCUCCCAACUUUUUCAGUUGCCAUGUUUCACUGAUGGUUGAGUGUGAAGCGAUUAGCUAUCUGGAUUUUUGGUGUUGAGGAUGGAGGUUUCACCGUUUCAGCACUGUUAAAUAGUGGCUGGGGAAAGGGCAUGACGUAAGGGCAUAUGUUAAUACAGAUUAAUGAUUGCGUAUAUUAUUGUAAUAUUCAAGAAAAUUAUAAACAAAGUCAAAUAAGACCUUACAACUUAGUAGUUAAAGUUUUUUUUUUUUUUUUUUAAUUCUUUGCUACAUUUAUGAAUUUUAUAAGAAAACUUAAGUAAUUUAUGAAUGUUAUAAAAAGUUUUUGAAAAUUUCUUUGUACAUAAGUAAAUUAUGUAAAAAGCUUUUACAUAAGAUGUCAACAACUCAACAUCACCAUUUUUUUCUCUUUUCUUAAAAAGUAAAAAUUAUGGUAAACUAAAUAUUUGUUUAUCAAAAGAACACCAAAUAUUAAUAGAGAGGUCAUUAACAUUGCACUAAAUUUGAAUCCGAGAUUUAGUUCGACUAAUUUAUAUAUUUAUAUUUAGAAAGUAAAAUUUAAUAAGUCUAAAUUAUUGACAAAAAAUUAAAAUUCAAAUUUUAACACAAUUUUUUUCUCAAUCUCCAUAAUAUGACUUUUUAUGUAAAAUAAAAUUAUACUUAAUCUCAAAAUUAAUUAGUUCACCUGUCAAGGAAAAAUCAAAUUAAAAAACAUUACUAAUUAAUUAUGACUAAUAGAAAUUAUAAUUUCUUGAACAUUAUUAAUUUCUUAUCACACCCAUCAUUUAUGUUAAAUGAAAAAAAUCAUAAUUAUUUUUAUAACUAUAAAAUAACAAGUGGUGCUUAAAUGAAUUUUAUAAUAAAAUAUUUAGAAGCAAUAAAUACCAUUAAAAGGACAUUAGGAUUGCAUCUAACAUUUGAUUUUUCUUUUGGCCAAAACCUAACAUUGGUUUUAUAAAGUUAUCUUGAAAUUUUCUUUCAAAAUUGGAAUCUUAAAAAUUCAUAAUAUAAAUUUUCGAAAGAACGAAGUGCGGCACUCACUUUUUUUUUUUUUGGCAUUUUCUUUGUUUUUUUUUUUUAUUUAUAGGUUUUUUUUUCUUUUACCUGUUUUAAUUUAUUGACUUUCGCAUGUGAAAAAAGUAAAGAAAGUAAAAAUUGAUGGGACAAUGAUUGAUGAAGAGUUGGUGAAAGUUGGUAAAGAGUAAAGAUUAACAAAGAGAGUUAAAAGUAAAAAAGCAAGGAAAAAAUUGAGGUACCCUCCUUUGUAUCAUUUCUUUUCUUUUUUAAUCCUUAUUUAAUUGUUUUUUAUUUAAUUGUUAUUGUUUAUUUUUUAUGAUUAAAUAUAAAAAAUUAUUUAAUUAUAUAUUUUUCUAUCAAUUUGAUAUAAAAUAAAAUAAAAUUAUUAAUUUGACACCUAAACUUUCAUUCUAUUAUCACUUUAAAACAUUAGACUAAUAUCAUUAGUCCAUUUAUUGAUUGUUAAUACUUAAUUUUUUUUAGCAAAUUCUAGUCAAAUAUGAAGCGUUUAAAAUUCAAUCUAAUUUAAAUCUAAUAUUUCUUUAAUAUUGAUAAAUUAUCAAAACUAAAUUAUGGAUCAAAUUGACUUGAAUAUCCUUUAGUCAAAUCUAGUCAAUAAUAAUCAAACUCGAUCAAAUUAGGAUUAAUCUUUGGAACUCAUAACCAAAUAGGAUUUUUAAAACUUGAGAUUAAUAAUUUAUGAUUUUGAUGCACUAAAAAUCAUGAUUAUAACUCGAAAUGUGUAAAAUUAUCAAAAUAUUUUUUAGAGGUAUUUUUAUAAUUUGAUCUUUUUUAGAUUAUGUUUUGGUAUUAUUUAAUAAUUUUUUACAUUAAAAACCUUAAUCGCACCUCAUAAAAUAUGAAAUUAUCAAAAUAUCAUUUAGGAGUAUUUUUACAAAAAGUUUUAGAUCAUAUUUUAAUAUUAUUUUAUGAUUUUUGAUAUAUUAAAACCCUUAUCGCAUCUUAAAGUGUAAAACUAUCAAAAUGUCCUCUAAAAAUAUUUUCAUAAUUUGACUUUUCGAGAUUGGUAUUUCGUAAAAAACUUCAAAUCAUGUUUUGAUAUUAUUUCAUGACUUUUGAUAUAUUAAAAACUUUGAUUGCACUUCUAAAUGUGUGAAAUUAUCAAAAUAUUUUUUAAGCGUAUUUUUAUAAUUUAACUUUUUUCCAAGUUGAUUUUUCGCAAAAAUGCUUCAAAUCAAAAUUUGAUAUUAUUUCAGGGUGUUGCACUAAGAAACAUGUUUCCUGCAUGUGUAAAUUCCGCUCUAAGGACCGUUCCUGAUGCAUCUGAGAUUGUCCAAUUUUUUUCUGCAAAGUUCCUCGUCCAAUUCAAGGUGUAAGCUAGACUUGUGAUUUACAAGCUAGGAUUUCCAGCAAAUGCUUGCAUUCAACCAAUCUUGAUGAGUAACAAAUCAAGAAAACAUGUGGGAAAAGAGCCACGUGGCAUGGUCACAAUUGCCUAGUUUAGAUGUUUGUUGAUGCCAUAGCCGAAGGAACCGGUGGCCAAUUUUGGACAGACUUAUGAAUCAAAAUGAGAAGCAGGACUGGUCACUUACAGUACUGGUGUUUGGGAUUAAUUAACAUCUAGCAAGGCUGCGUUUGGAAAGUCUUAUCUGGAUCUACAAAGAAAUUCCCUUCCUUUGAUCCUUUCACAGGGGGGUUGUAUUGUUUACGGGCCAAAGUAUAUAGAUGGGCCUAUGAAGUGUAAGGUCAGUAGUUGAGUCCAGUCCAAUAAUUAGGAUUAUUUCAAAUAUUAGUUAAAAUCAGUGAAUGUGCGAUUAGUUAUAUCACAACUAGAUUAGUUAAAAAGCUGAUGUCAAUUGCUGAUGUUCAUGGUCUGUUAAAGGUUUUUAGAAGGGAGGAGACGAUUGGUUGUAGGCAUUCUGAAAAUUCAUACAACAUAAUACAAUAUUUCUCUCUAUACUUUCUCUUUUCUUCUUCUUCCAUUUACUCUUCUCUGAUUCAAGGCUGGGUAGAUUUCUUCAUCAACUUAAUGUCUUCAUUCUCAGUUGGCCCCAUACCAGCUUUCAAAUUUCCCAAUGUUUAAGCAGACUUUUGAUGAUAGAAAGUCAGGAAGUCAAACGAAUUUAAAAGAGAAGAAAGCAUGAGAGAUAGUUAAAUCAUUGAAAUAUUGGAGCAAGAUUUUGCCUUUUUUUUUUUUCGUUUGGUCAAAGGAAUCAUGCAGUGCACAAAAAACCUAAUGUUGGGAAAUCUGAAAUCAUGCAUUGAUAGCUUAUUUCAGAACCUUUUGCUUCAUUACCAUGGGAAUACACAAUCUCAACAUGACAAACCUGGAUAGCUACUACCAAGUUUGCAAUCUCUCAUCAGAAGACCUAUGGAUACUUCUGAUACAACACUUAUUCUCUUGAAACAAAGUAGAGACAAUUGUAGCUUGCCCUCAUCAUUCAGGUUUCCAUGAAGACAAGGGAGGAGUUUCAGAUUCAUGGUACGUAGCGAUAGUUCCACCGUAUCUAUCUCCCUUCACAGCAUCUGCUGAAGCAAUAGAUUCUAGCUCAGUCAUCUCUUCAGGUGUUAAUUUUACGGACAAAGCUCCGAUGUUGUGGCUGAAGUUUUCAGUUUUGGUGGUUCCAGGAAUGGGACAGGAC
rnacentral:lncRNA from 1 species